UCCCUGAUGGUCCAACCAGUGGUUAAGACUCUGUACUUCCAAUGCAGGGGCCAUGGGUUUGAUCCCUAGUUGGGGAG
rnacentral:tRNA from 1 species